rnacentral:rRNA from 1 species
GAUGAACGCUGGCGGCGUGCUUAAUACAUGCAAGUCGAGCGAACAGACGCGGAUCUUGCUCCUCUUACGUUAGCGGCGGACGGGUGAGUAGCAAGUGGAUAACCUAUCUAUAAGACUGAGAUAACUUCGGGAAACCGGAGCUAAUACCAGAUAAUAUAUUGAACCGCAUGGUUCUAUAGUGAAAUACGGUUUUUCUGUCACUUAUAGAUGGAUCCGCGCGGCAUUAGCUAGUUGGUAAGGUAACGGCUUACCAAGGAAACGAUGCGUAGCCGACCUGAGAGAGUGAUAGGCGACCCGGGAGCUGAGACACGGUCCAGGCUACUACGAGAGGCAGCAGUAGGGAAUCGUCCGCAAUGGGCGAAAGCCUGACGGAGCAGCGCCGCGUGAGUGACGAAGGUGUUCGGAUCGUAAAACUCUGUUAUUAGGGAAGAACAAAUGUGUAAGUAAAUGUGCACGUCUUGACGGUACCUAAUCAGAAAGCCACGGCUAACUACGUG